AGAGGGCGGGGUCUCUCCCUAGAGAUGCGAGCGGAAGGUUCCCGGAGGUGGGACCCGAGCGCCUCCUAAGCUGGUAGGUCACUAAGCUUGGGGCUGUCCUUCUGAGGAGAAGGACGCGGACCCCACAGAAGCCCUCAGACUGCCCAGCGCUGGGCUAUCCUGGCCCUCGGUCUCAGGUCUGUAGUCGUCCCUUAGACCCGAGGUGUAAGCCUGAGAUGGUCGCCAAAGCUUGGUUGUCCGAGUUUCUGGAGAAUGGAGAGUGGAUGCGCAAACCUUUCGUUCCAACACUCCGAACCCGGACAGAGGCAGGAGCAACUAUCUCCAUGAGUUCAAGGCCAGCCUGGUUUACAUAGAGAAAUAAAAGGUAUAGUGGAGAAGAAGGUUUAUUGUAGGUAUGUGGGAGAGCAUACUAUACUCAGAGGGAGGCCAUCUAGGAGAGUCCAGAAGGGGACGAGACCAGGCAGAACUGGGCCCUGUGAGGAGAGGCGGGAAGGAGAGGGGAAACAGAUCCUGCAGUCAGAAGGUCAAAAGGUGUAAAAAGAGGAAGGUAGUCAAGAUGUCUGGAUUAUAUAGGGAAGAGCCUCUAGGGGAAGGGCAGCCUAGCCCCUGGCCUGGAGGGCGGGGUAUGUCAGCCAAACCCUGUAACAGAUAAGGACUGGAGGAUGCCAGAAGCUGGAGACCAGGUCUGCUUUGGUAUCUUAUAUAGGCACCUCAGCGGAUCAUCCCGGGUUUGAAACUUCACAGCUACCCUGUCUCCAAGAAAGAGAGAGAAAAGAGAAUCUGUGGAGGAUACGCAUGUAUUAUUUCAUAUCACCACAAGCAUCACUGUAGAGUUUGCCUAUUUGUGCAUUCUAAACUAUAGAACAACCUCACCAAACAAAACAGUGAGUGGGAAUGCAUGCCAGUAAAUCUCACUCUCCUGAGGCUAAGGUGAGAGACUUUAAAAUUCUAGGCUAGCCUUGACAACAACUUACUGAGAUCCUACCCUGAAAAACUAUUCAAACCUAGAUGCCUGGAGGGAUAUAAGGCAAAGAUAGCAAGAUGAUAGAGAGCUGUAACCCUAGGCAGCUCGGUUGUUGUUUCAUUUGUUCUCUGUAAGAUUUUUGGAUCCCAGCCUAAGGCUACACCAUAAAACAAUAUGUCCAGGGGCUGGAGAGAUGGUGCCAGUGAUUAAGAGCCUUGACUGCUCUUCCAAAGGACCUGAGUUCAAUACCCAGUACCUACAUGGCAGCUCACAGCUGUCUGUAACUCCAGUUCCAGGAGAUUGCCACCCUCACACAGACAGACAUACAGGCAAAAACACCAAUGAACAUACAAUAAAUCUUUAGAAACAAAAAACCCAAAAGCCUCAAAUUACAUAUCUUUAUGUUUAUCCUUGUAUUCUGUGUAGUUAGAGAAAAAAAAAAAGGCAGGUGGAUCUCUGUGAAUUUAAGGCCAGCCAAGUGUGCAGAGCUAAUCCCAAGACAGCCAAGGAGGCACAGAGAAAAACUGUCUUAAAAAAAAAAAAGCAGGGGGGUGGGGUGGUGUAUAGGGGACUUUUGGGAUAGCAUUUGAAAUAUAAAUGAAGAAAAUAUACAAGAAAAAAAAAAAAAGCCAGGCGGUGGUGGUGCACACCUUUAAUCCCAGCACUCGGGAGGCAGAGGCAGGCAGAUUUCUGAGUUCGAGGCCAGCCUGGUCUACAGAGUGAGUUCCAGGACAGCCAGGGCUACACAGAGAAACCCUGUCUGGAAAAAACAAAACAAAACAAAGAUACAUAUAACUAGGUAUUGCUUAUUACCCAAAAGCAUAGAAACUUUUCAAAGGAUGUGGGUGGAGAAGGUCACCUUCAGCAAUACAUGGAGUUUGAGGGCAACCCAGCCUACAUCAGAAAAGCAAAACAAAACAAAAACCUAACUAAAUGCUAAGAUGUCAGCGUAAAAGUAAAAUCUUCCGUCUGUGGAGCUACCUCCUUGCGUUCACCUCUCCUAUAUUUUUGCCUCUCCUAUAUUUGGGUAAGACAUCUGCUGAUGGCAACAAUCCUCUAUUUUUGUACUUUUCUGUGUUUACCAAAUUGUAAUUAGCCUGUACUCGGUUUUAUAAGUAGAAUAAAGUGCAAUAAAUGGCCUCUCAGAUAUGA
rnacentral:lncRNA from 1 species